rnacentral:rRNA from 1 species
UUUUUAUACGGCGAAACUGCGAAUGGCUCAUUAAAACAGUUAUAGUUUAUUUGAUAGUCAUCUGAGAUGAAAGUCUACUACAUGGAUAACCGUGGUAAUUCUAUGGCUAAUACAUGCGCAAAUAUCCUUUUUCGCAAGGGAGAGGAUAGUGUUUAUUAGAUACAGAACCAAUACACCAGUGUCAAAACUGGUGUGAAAAAGGUGAUUCAUAGUAACCGAACGGAUCGCAUUAUGGUCAUUUUAUAAUGGCUGGCGAUAGAUCAUUCAAGUUUCUGACCUAUCAGCUUUCGACGGUAGUGUAUUGGACUACCGUGGCAGUGACGGGUAACGGGGAAUUAGGGUUCGAUUCCGGAGAGGGAGCCUGAGAAACGGCUACCACAUCUAAGGAAGGCAGCAGGCGCGCAAAUUACCCAAUCCUGACUCAGGGAGGUAGUGACAAGAAAUAACAACACUGGAAAUUUUAUUUCUAGUGAUUGGAAUGAUGGGAAUUUAAACCCCUUUCAGAGUAACAAUUGGAGGGCAAGUCUGGUGCCAGCAGCCGCGGUAAUUCCAGCUCCAAUAGCGUAUAUUAAAGUUGUUGCAGUUAAAAAGCUCGUAGUUGGAUGUCUGCUGGAAGCAAUCAGUCCGCCCUAUUUGUAGGGUGUGCACUUGAUGAAUUCUGGCAUUUUUGUCCCAAUGAUGUAGCGGGGCGGUGGUAUUGGGUGAAAGCUCAAUAGCGUCUUUUCCGAUUAUUGGGAUACUGUUACUUUGAGAAAAUUAGAGUGUUUGAAGCAGGCUAAUUGCCUUGAAUACUGCAGCAUGGAAUAACAAUAUAGGAUUUCGGUUCUAUUUUGUUGGUUUCUAGGACUGAAAUAAUGAUUAAUAGGGACAGUUGGGGGCAUUCGUAUUUAACUGUCAGAG